rnacentral:misc_RNA from 1 species
CCUGUUCGAGCGUCAUUACACCACUCAAGCCUCGCUUGGUAUUGGAGGACGCGGUUCGCCGCGCCUCUUAAAUCUUCCGGCUGAGCUUACUGUCUCUUAGCGUUGUGGAAACUUUUCGCUUCUAAGACAGUGACGCUUGCGCCGUUAAACCAAUUUUACAGGUUGACCUCGGAUCAGGUAGGGAUACCCGCUGAACUUAA